ACGUAAAUGGGACCUUGUGUGUCCGGCUUCUUUUACCUCAGCAUCAUGUUUUCGGGCGUUGCGCGUCAUAGCAAGUGUUGGUGUUUUAUUCGCCUUUCUGACUGAAUAGUAUUCCCUUGUAUGGACAGGCCACGUUGCAUGUAUCCAUUGUUAUGAGCUGAACUGGGUCCUCCCAGAAGGAGAUGUUGAAAUCCUAACCCUUCGUACCUCAGAAUGUGACCUUAUUUGGAAGUGGGAUGGUUACAGACGUAACCAGUUGAAUAAAGCCAUACUGAGAGUGAGCCCUUAUGACUGGGGUCCUGAUAAGAUACGCAGAGAGAAGAGGGCCCUGUGACAGCAGAGGCAGAAAGUGAAGUGACACAGCCACAUGCCAAGAAACGCCGAGCACGGUGGGCCGCCACCGAGACUGGAAGGGGCAAGGAAGGAGUCCCCUCCAGCUCCCGGAGGAGCAUGGCCCUGCCGACGCCUCGAUUUCAGACAUCUGGUCUCCAGAGCUGUGAGACGGUGCAUUUGCACGGUUCCAAGUCACCGUGUGAGGUGAUUCGUUUCGGCAGCCCCAGGAAGCUCACGGUUUGAGGGACAUCUGGAUUGUUUCUACCCAUUGGCUGUUAGGAAUCACGCUGCUGCGAACACUCAUGGACAGGUUUCCGUGCGGACAUAUGUUUUCACUUCGUCUGGCUCUACACUUAGGAGGGGAAUUGCUGAGUCAUAUGGCAGCUCUGUGUUUAGCUUUGGCUGUGUGUGUGUGUGUGUGUGUGUGCAGUAAAAUGCACAGAACAUGAGAUCUAUCAUUUGAACCAUUUUAAAGCACACAGUUCAGUGGCACUAAGUAAUUCGCAAAUUGGGCAACCAUCCCCAUGAUCUACUUCCAGAACGUUGUCCCUCAACUGAAACCCUGUACCCACUCCCCACUCCAUUUCCCCUCAGCCCCUGCAAAUCACUCAUCUGCUUUCUUUCCCAUGGCUUUGUGAUCCCAAGUAUUUCAUUUAAAUGGAAUUCUACCAUCCAUGUCCUUUUGCGUUUGGCUUCUUCCACUCACAUUUUGAAGUUCAACCACAUUCUGGCAUGUAGCAGUAAGUACUGUGUUCCUUUUAUGGAGGAAUACUGUUUUACUCUCCGGAUAGACUUCAUUUUGCUUACCCGUUCAUCCACUGAUGGACACUGGGCUGUUUCCACCUUCCGGCUCUCGUGACUCACGCUGCUAACGAACAUUCAUGCACAAGUCUUGGUUUGAAUGCCUGUUCUCUGCUCUUCUGGCUAUUUACCUGGGAGAGGAAUUGCUGGAUCAUUGUAGGCAAAGGGGUCUGCAGCCCCGAAGAGGGUCCCUGCCAGAACCUGACCAUGCUGGCACCCUGAUCCGGGACUUGCAGCUGUCAGCGCUGCAGGGAAUAAGUUUCUGUUGCACAAGCCACCCAGUCUGCAGAACUUUGUUGUAGUGGCCCGAACGGCGACAGUUUUGCCCGUUCUCGAACUUGAUUGGGCUUCCUUGCUCGGCAGCGUCUGUGGGACUCAGGCAUGUUGUUGGGGGAGGUGGGUGGCUCCUUCUUGUUGCUGUAUCAGAUUUCAUCACCAGAAUAUUCUACACGCUAUGACCCAUUGAGGGACAUGGGGGUUGUGUCCAGCUUUUGCCGGUCAAAAUAAGGCUGUGGCGGACAUUCUUGAACUUGCCGUUGGGUGCAUCCGGGCCCUGAUUUCUCUUGGGAAUGGGUGAGAUUGCCCAGAUGUGGGGUGCGUGUAGAUGGCUUUGGCAGAAGCUCCCGGGCACAUUUCUGAAGUUGGGGUACCCACUGUGCUCCCACGGAAUGGGAGAGACUUGACUUUUGCCCAACCUGUGAUGGAGCUGUAUUUUUUCUUUGUAUUUCUUGGAUGGUUAAUAAUGUGGAACACCUUGUCAUAGGCCGGUAUCCCACUUAAUAUUAUCUCUGAGUAAUGCUCACUGUAAUCCUGAGAGGUUGGCGUUCCUGUGGACAGAUGGGGACACUCGGAGGGCAGGAGGGGCCCGUGGCUUGUCCGAAGAUGAGCAGCUGGUACAUGGUGGAUCCCGGGUCUAUUCCGAUGACAGAGCGCGUACACUUGCCCGCAGGACUGCAAAAGUUCGAGGAGAGGAACAAUUUCUUUUCCCCCCAAACUGGAGGAAGACCGCGAGAACUCAGCGUUGCACUUCGUUUAUUUUUUCAGAUGAGCACUUUAAUCAUUACAGCUAGGCAACACAUGGGUUAAGAAGGUCUGUGGGGAGCAGCCUUUGUCAGUUAUGGCGCGCUACCCGAUGUUCGCUGUUGCUGUGACUUUUACGGGAAAGCGUGUUCCGGGUUCCAAGCCAGGGAUGUCAGAAUGAGCCCUGGUGCACCGCCCGUGGGAGCAUGUCUGUGUACCCAAAGAAAACAUUACAACUUGAGUAAUAGCAAGUCCUGGAAAUGAUGACAGCUGCUUGCAAGCUGGUUGCAAGCCACUGGCUGGCCUUUGCGGAAACCUGAUAUUCAGGCAUGUGUGUGGGAGGCAGGAGUCCGUCUCAGAUUUUGAAAUCUCCGAGAUGCUAGAAUCCAUUUUCCCUUCUCUUCUAGGAAACAAGACGCCAGCAAUGCUUUCCAGUGGUCUGCUGGUUUUUCCUCCCUCUCUCCUCCAAAGCCUUCCCUGCCCAAUGCACAUCAAACUGUGACACUGUUUACUGGGCUAACGCAUACUUAUGGAAAAGUGCAAAAAGCAUGAGUGUGAAUGGAUGGGUGGAUUUCCCCAGAGUGAACCUGUCCAUGUGACCACCACCCAGCUCAAGAAGCAGAACUUCCCAGCACCGCAGGAGAUUCCCUGUGUGCCCCCACCCCCGGCCUGCCCUGGGAAAGCACUGUCCGGACAUUGGACGCCAGAGGUGAGCUUUGCUUGCCGUUUAUGGCUUGUACAGGUGGAGUCUCAUGGGAUGUGCUCUUCCGUGGCUGGAUUAGUUUUUUCAACAUAAGCUUUAUGAGAUUGUCUGUAUUUGGUAUGUCAUAGUGGUUUGCUCUUUACAUGGCUGUCUACUACGCUGCCACUUAUUGAUCCUUCUGGUUGUCGAUGGGCAUCACAGCUCUUUCCGGUCUGGGCUCUUAGAAACGGCGUGCCUGUGGACGUUCUAGAACGUGUUUCUGGGUGCACGUAUGUAUGUGUGCUGUUGGGCAUACAUCUGGCGGAAUUGCUGGCUCACGGGAAUUUGCACGUUCAGCUUGAUCAGGCGCUGCCAGUUUGCAAAGUGGGGGUAUACUCAUUUACAUCCUCAGAGCCGUGCAGCAGUUCUGCUUCCUCCAGAACCUCACCAGCACUUGGUAUUUGGAAUCUCCAUUUUGCAAUCCAGUUAGAAUGGAUGGGAUCAUACACUUGAUUACUCUCCACCCUCAGGGGGCGCCUGGGUGGCUCAGUCCAUGAAGUGUCUGCCUUUAGCUCACGUCAUGAUCUCAGGGUCCUGGAAUCAAGCCCUGCAUCAGGCCCCCUGCUCAGCGAGGAGUCUGCUUCUCUAUCUCCCCCUUGGCUCGUGCCCUUUCGCUCUCCCUCCCUCUUAAAUAAAUAAAUAAAUAAAUAAAUAAAAACUUUAAAAAAA